rnacentral:rRNA from 1 species
CCUACGGGUGGCAGCAGUGGGGAAUAUUGGACAAUGGGCGAAAGCCUGAUCCAGCCAUGCCGCGUGUGUGAAGAAGGCCUUCGGGUUGUAAAGCACUUUCAGUGGGGAAGAAAGCCUUGGGGCUAAUACCCUCGAGGAAGGACAUCACCCACAGAAGAAGCACCGGCUAACUCCGUGCCAGCAGCCGCGGUAAUACGGAGGGUGCAAGCGUUAAUCGGAAUUACUGGGCGUAAAGCGCGCGUAGGCGGUCUGAUAAGCCGGUUGUGAAAGCCCCGGGCUCAACCUGGGAACGGCAUCCGGAACUGUCAGGCUAGAGUGCAGGAGAGGAAGGUAGAAUUCCCGGUGUAGCGGUGAAAUGCGUAGAGAUCGGGAGGAAUACCAGUGGCGAAGGCGGCCUUCUGGACUGACACUGACGCUGAGGUGCGAAAGCGUGGGUAGCAAACAGGAUUAGAUACCCCUGUAGUC